AACGAACGCUGGCGGCAGGCCUAACACAUGCAAGUCGAGCGCCCCGCAAGGGGAGCGGCGGACGGGUGAGUAACGCGUGGGAAUUUUCCUCAAGGUACGGAACAACCCAGGGAAACUUGGGCUAAUACCGUAUGAUGCAGAGAUGCCAAAGAUUUAUCGCCUUGGGAUAAGCCCGCGUCAGAUUAGGUAGUUGGUGGGGUAACGGCCUACCAAGCCUGCGAUCUGUAGCUGGUCUGAGAGGACGAUCAGCCACACUGGGACUGAGACACGGCCCAGACUCCUACGGGAGGCAGCAGUGGGGAAUCUUGCGCAAUGGGGGAAUGCCUGACGCAGCCAUGCCGCGUGAGUGAUGAAGGUCUUAGGAUUGUAAAGCUCUUUCGCCCGUGACGAUGAUGACGGUAACGGGAGAAGAAGCCCCGGCUAACUUCGUGCCAGCAGCCGCCGUAAAAC
rnacentral:rRNA from 1 species